GUCUAGAGGCUUCGACAAUGCCCGAAAGGGUGAUCGAGCGAUGCCGCGUGCGGGAUGAAGGCCUUCGGGUUGUAAACCGCUUUUACCUGGGAAGAACGCCCGUCUCGUGAAGAUGGGUUUGACGGUACCAGAGGAAUAAGCCCCGGCUAACUCCGUGCCAGCAGCCGCGGUAAGACGGAGGGGCAAGCGUUGUUCGGAAUUAUUGGGCGUAAAGGGCUCGUAGGCGGAUCUGUAAGUCUGGCGUGAAAUCUCCACCGCUUAACGGGGAGCUGCCGCUGGAUACUGCAGAUCUGGAGUUCGGUAGAGGAUCGUGGAAUUUCGGGUGUAGCGGUGGAAUGCGUAGAUAUCCGAAAGAACACCAGUGGCGAAGGCGACGAUCUGGGCCUGAACUGACGCUGAGGAGCGAAAGCUAGGGGAGCAAACGGGAUUAGAUACCCGGGUAGUCC
rnacentral:rRNA from 1 species